UACGGGGGGAGCAAGCGUUGUUCGGAUUUACUGGGCGUAAAGGGCGCGUAGGCGGUCAGCACAAGUCAGUUGUGAAAUCUCCGGGCUUAACCCGGAAACUGCCAUUGAUACUAUCAGUCUUGAAUACCGUGGAGGUAAGCGGAAUAUGUCAUGUAGCGGUGAAAUGCUUAGAUAUGACAUAGAACACCAAUUGCGAAGGCAGCUUACUACCCGAAUAUUGACACUGAGGCACGAAAGCGUGGGGAUCAAACAGG
rnacentral:rRNA from 1 species